UGUUUCCUAACAGUUAGAUGGAUGGGGUCUGUCCUGUCUGCCCGGAGGAUUUAGCAUGGUGGGCAGGUUGGUAGGCUGGAAUGGCAGAUACCCUUGCCGGACCACCACCUGGGCACAUUUGGACCCCGCAUUGCACAUUUCCUCCAUAGCAGUACUCCAUGACCUGCUCCGUGUUGGUUGGGAAGGCCCUAGGGGGAAGAUGGAUCUCCACUCAUAUGCCCUCGCUGUAAUAUCGUCAUGUCCGUGGGGGCAGAGGGUGAUUGACCACUGUGGGACCCUCGUCCGGCAACUGUCCCAGCCUCUCUCAGGUGUGCUGGGGCAGUAAGGGAGAGCGGGGGACCCCUGCUCCUAGUGCGACUUUUGGCCAGGGAGGACUGUCAUAAGUGUUCCCCGUCUUACUAAAGGCUAAAUACCCCCUUGGAUAUUACCUUACUCACACGGUCAGAGGGAGACCAUAAAUAUUCGUACACACAAAGGAGAAGGUACCAAAAAUUGAAUUCCACAGAUCGUUUAGAACAUUUUUAUGAGUUUUUUAUCUAUUGGAAACUAAUUAAAAUUGCUAGAAUUGUGUAUAUGAAUUGUGUACCUAGUCCAUUUUUUCAGGCCUGCAAGGUAUAGGAGGGUAUACAUCAACUUAUCAUAUAGAUGAGUUAAUCAGUGGAAUUCAAUUUUGGUACCUUCUCCAUUGUGUGUACGAAUCAGUGUUCCCCGACCAAGGCACACCACCGGUGAUGUUGGUUACCCAGCCAACCCAUCUUGAGACACAGACCAAGGAGUCUAUCACUUGGGGAGGUGGAGCAUGGGCAUGUGUGAUAUGACCCGAAAGAUAGUGAUCUAUUCCUGGGCAGGGCAAAGCCGUAGGGGACUCUGGUGUAGUUCCGUAGAAGUGGUUCUGACAUGCAAAUCGGUCAUAUAACCUGGGUAUAGGGGCAUAAGACUAAUCGUACCAGCUAGUAGCUAGUUCCCUCUGAAGUUUCCCUCAGGAUAGCUAGUGCUCAGAUACCCCAGUUUUAUAUGUUAAAGCAAAUGAUUAGAGGUCUUUGGGCCAAAACCAUUGCAACCUAUCAUCAAACUUUAUAUGGGUAAGGAGCCCCGGCCUGCUGGCAUGGAGCCAGGCAUAGAAAUGCCAGUGCCCAGUGUGCCACUUUUGGUAAGCAGAACUGGUGCUGCAGGAUGAACCAACUGCCAGUUUAAGGCGCACAAUGUCGAUGCUCAUCAGACCCCAGAAAAUGGGUUGGUUGAUAUAGACAUGGAAGUCAGAAUCUGUUAAUGAGUGUGUAACAACUCACCUGCCAAAUCAACUAGCCAUUGUAAUGGAUGGUGCUUGAGUGUUGGGACCAUACCCAGCCUUUGCCAGCGCUGAGAGCCAAGGAGACUAAGUCUUAACAAGUGGGAGGGCUGCUGCAGUGCGCACAGUAUCCCGGGGUAUGGGCCCGGUUAGAGCCAUCACAGGUGUAGAUCUUGCUGGUCAUAGCAAAUAUUGAGAUGAGAACUUGGAGGAGGGUACCAUGUCAAAAGCUGUUGAAUAAGGGCGAGUAAUUUCUAAGAGAUGGGUGAGAAUCAUACGAUAGGGACAGGCAAUGGCCUCCUUUGCCCUCAACCAUUGGAAAGGGAGUCUGGGUCAGAUCCCCAAACCUAGAGUGGUGGAGCCGGGUGUCCUUGCGGCUUCCAUUGUGGUAACGCAAACAUUCCCAGAGAAUCCAGGGGACACCCCGGGGAGAGUUCUAUUUUUUGUGAAGGGCAGGGCAGCCUGGAAUGGGAUUUCUCAAGAGAGGCACCUUAGUCUUAGUGAGCAUCCAGUGGGCUCUCACUGGUCCUUGUUAAUCCAGGGGAGAUGGUGUGAAUCUUGCACCAGCCUGUACCCAUAUCUGCAGCAGGUCUCCAAGGUGAACAGAUUCUGCCAUGUUGGAACAGUAUAGGUAAGGGAAGUUGAAAAGUCGGAUACAUAACUUCAGGUUAGGAACUGGCUAUAAGGGCUGGGUGGGUCAGACUGGUGGGUGAAGCAGGGCUCGGCGUGCACCACAGCUGGAUGAGGCAUCAUCCACCCUGGGAUCCCCACCAACUCUGGACAUGAGCCGGGCCCUUCCUGUGGAUUACCCCAGCUGGGGUGGUUGCCUCUCUCAUUCCCCUCCUUGGGUUCGGGCCAGCGUACUGCCUCAGCCGAUACCUAGCAGGUGACUUAGAAAUGGUGUGGACAAGGGGAAUCCAAUGAUUUAAAUGAAACAAGGCAUCAAAAAGGCCUGUGACUGGUGUUGUCACAAUUACUACCCAUUGCUCUGAAGCUGAAUGUCUAGUAAUUCUAAGAAGAACAGGUGAACGGCAGAAGUAACUAUGAUUUUCUUAGGGUGGCCAAAUGCCUCGCCAUCUAAUUAGGGGCAUGCAUUAGGGGCAUGUAUAAAUGGAUGAUGGGGAUUCCCACUGUCCCUACCUACAAUCUAGAGAAACCACAGCCAGGGGAAUGGACUUAAUGGAAUCAUCAGUGAAAGGAGAGAGAUCCCGUUAAGCUUGAUUCUAGUCUGGCACUGUGAGGAGAAAUGAGAGGUGUGGGAUUAGUGUGAGACCCUUGAGCUGGCCGUGUAAUACCUCUAUGUUAUCAUUUUUCACAUACCCAGUGAGGCAGGGGUACAAGCACUGUGGGGCUGUCACUUCUGGCUCUAAGAACCCGGCUCCAGCCAGGCACGCCACGAUCUGGGGACAUAGGCAGGUGGGCAGCUUGACUGGGUCAGUACACCUGUCAAACGAUAAUGUAGGUGUCCUAAGGCAGGCUCAGGGAGGACAGAAACCUCCCAUGGAGCUGAAGGGCAAAGGUUUGCUGUAUCUUGAUUUUCUGUAUGACUACAGACCAUGAAAACAGGGCCUCAAACCUUCUGACUUUUGGGUUUCAAGCAGGAGGUGUCCGAAAAUGAACAUAGGGCUCCCUGUCUUGUGGUGGCCAAGUGUUCAUAGCUAGGUCACAUUUUGAUCCUCCCAUGUCAGCUCUUCCUAUCAUUGUGUAGCAGAUCUCACCAAACAUUAGAUUGUUCACCCACUAAUAGGGAACAUGAGCUGUGUUUAGACCAUUGUGUGACAGGUUAGUAUUACCCUACUGAUGAUGCGUUGUUGCAAUAGUAAUCCUGCUUAGGACAAGAGAAACUGCAUGUUCAGAUAUUUGGUGUAUACUCUUGGCUGAGGAGCUAAUGGAGUGAAGCUGGCAUAUGUGUGAUUAUGACUGAAUGCCUCUAAGUGAGAAUCCCCCCUAAACUGUAAAGGUACCAUUGCACUAUGGAGCAUCGUUUGGCCUAGAAUAGCCUGCCUCUAGGCCAGUGCAUUGCGCUGCUCACCUCGGGACUCGUGUGGAUAGAAAUAUGCAACUUCUCUCAUCCAUAGUGCACCACAG
rnacentral:rRNA from 1 species